rnacentral:rRNA from 2 species
UCUGGCGGCAGUAGCGCGGUGGUCCCACCUGACCCCAUGCCGAACUCAGAAGUGAAACGCCGUAGCGCCGAUG